UACGAAGGGGGCUAGCGUUGCUCGGAAUCACUGGGCGUAAAGGGUGCGUAGGCGGGUCUUUAAGUCAGGGGUGAAAUCCUGGAGCUCAACUCCAGAACUGCCUUUGAUACUGAUGAGCUUGAGUCCGGGAGAGGUGAGUGGAACUGCGAGUGUAGAGGUGAAAUUCGUAGAUAUUCGCAAGAACACCAGUGGCGAAGGCGGCUCACUGGCCCGGUACUGACGCUGAGGUGCGAAAGCGUGGGGAGCGAACAGG
rnacentral:rRNA from 1 species